CUCUCUCUCUCUCUCUCUCUCUCUCUGUCUCUCUCUUCCAGGUUACUCCUACCAUAUCUCAUAUUGAAACAUUGAGGACAAUGUUCGGUUUAAGUGUGGGAGGAGAUUUUAUCACUUUUUAUCUUUCCUUUAUUAUCGCUUUUUAUCGCUUUCCUUUACUUUUAUCGCUUUUUACCGUUUUCUUUUAUUUUUAGUAUGUUUUGUUUAUUUUAGUUUUUUGUUUUUCCUUUCAAUAAAAUAACAUGUGUC
rnacentral:lncRNA from 1 species